CCUACGGGGCGCUGCAGUGGGGAAUAUUGGACAAUGGGCGAAAGCCUGAUCCAGCCAUGCCGCGUGUGUGAAGAAGGCCUUCGGGUUGUAAAGCACUUUCAGUGGGGAAGAAAGCCUUGGGGCUAAUACCCUCGAGGAAGGACAUCACCCACAGAAGAAGCACCGGCUAACUCCGUGCCAGCAGCCGCGGUAAUACGGAGGGUGCGAGCGUUAAUCGGAAUUACUGGGCGUAAAGCGCGCGUAGGCGGUCUGAUAAGCCGGUUGUGAAAGCCCCGGGCUCAACCUGGGAACGGCAUCCGGAACUGUCAGGCUAGAGUGCAGGAGAGGAAGGUAGAAUUCCCGGUGUAGCGGUGAAAUGCGUAGAGAUCGGGAGGAAUACCAGUGGCGAAGGCGGUCUUCUGGACUGACACUGACGCUGAGGUGCGAAAGCGUGGGUAGCAAACAGGAUUAGAUACCCUAGUAGUC
rnacentral:rRNA from 1 species